CCUAGUGGCCGUGGAUGGAAUCAAUGCUCUUUGGGGAAGAACCACUCUGAAAAGAGAAGAUAAAAGCCCGAUUGCCCCCGAGGAAUUAGCACUUGUUCACAACUUGAGGAAAAUGAUGAAAAAUGAUUGGGUAAGUGCAUAUGAUACCUCACACAUUUCAGAAAGAAAUGUAUUAUCAUUUUAAACAUGUUCUACUAUUUCAUUGCUAAUACUUUACAGUCUCUAAUUUUAUGGACAGUAAGUUA
rnacentral:lncRNA from 1 species